rnacentral:rRNA from 1 species
CAGUCGCCACGGGAAUACGAAGGGGGCUAGCGUUGCUCGGAAUUACUGGGCGUAAAGGGAGCGUAGGCGGAUCGUUUAGUCAGGGGUGAAAUCCCGGGGCUCAACCUCGGAACUGCCUUUGAUACUGGCGAUCUUGAGUAUGGGAGAGGUGUGUGGAACUCCGAGUGUAGAGGUGAAAUUCGUAGAUAUUCGGAAGAACACCAGUGGCGAAGGCGACACACUGGCCCAUUACUGACGCUGAGGAGCGAAAGCGUGGGGAGCGAACAGGAUUAGAUACCCGCGUAGUCCCUGUCUCUUAUAC